GCUAGCCUAUUGCUGCACCCUCCUAGUCUAAAAUUCGAAAUUUGAAUGGGAUGCUGUCCUAGAGGGCAUCCAAACUGAAUAAAGCAUAAAGGAGGCAUAAAGGAGAUGCUAACUGCUGUUGUCCUACUAACCGCAGCUGUCCUAGCAACUGAAAAAUAUGCUAAAGGAGUAGAUGCUGUCCUGAAAAGGUGAAACUACCCAAAAGCAAAAAGAAGAAUCACGACCAAGUGUUAGAAUUUCAAUGGUUACUCUCAUUGAGAAGAGGAUGGCACUCGAGAUGGGGCAAUUUUCUGGUUUUCUUCAUUCACAAAACACAAAAGCCAUACCUUCCCGAGGGAGGUUGGAUACAUAUAUAUAUAGCCAUAGCUGGCUGGAUGGCUGCAAGCUAAUUGCUGCCCACACUAGUCUAAAAUUUGAACGCGAUGCUGUCCUAGAGAGCAUCCAAACUGAAUAAAGCAUAAAGGUGAUGGUCCUAGAUGCUGUCCUAGAGAUGCUAAAAGCAAAACCGAAAUAUGCUAAAAGCAAAACUGAAAGGAUGCUGUCCUAAAAGGGAAAAACAACCUAAAAGCAAGAGAGGGACCACAAGGACCAAAGACCACGAGGCUUAUUCCAUCAUUCUCCCCCUAAGUCUUGUGCGUCGUCUUGUGGGAAAGUUGGGUCAUCCCGAUCCUGGAGCAGAGCUCGAGGAACUUGAUCCUCCCAAGAGGCUUGGUGAGCAAGUCCGCAAGCUGGUCCUUGGUGUUGAUGUAGCUCGCCUUGAUGCUCCCUUCCUCCAAGUAGCUUCGGAUGAAGUGGUACCUCACCCGGAUGUGCUUGCUCCGUUCGUGGAAGACGGGGUUCUUUGCCAUCCUCGUUGUAGUCGACGUCGCCGUACCGGACUGCCUCCCACAUGUGCCACACCUGCAGCCUCACCCUCAUCACCGCGGCCCACUCGAUGUAGUUGGUUUUGGUGAGGGUAGGCCACCCACCGCCGGGACCAAAGUCCCUGACCACCGUCUGGACGCCAUGGUGACCAUGACGCCGGUCAGGGGAGGGAGAGCCGCGCUGCCUGCGAGGGCCGCGCGCGGGCUCCGGGCUGCCGCCGGCACGCCCGCGCCCGUCUGGGUUCCCGUCGGCGAGCGCGCGGUCCCUUGGGUCGCCGCCACCGCCGUGGAGGUGGGCUGCUGCCCACCGCUCUGCCCGCUCCCGUGCCCCUCCUCUUGCCAGCUCCUCAAGCUCCCUGUCGGCGGUGAUGUCGCCGGCAAUGGAGCCGUUGAUGCUGCUGCGCAAGGUCUCAACCUCUACCUCCGCCGCACGUGCCGCAUCUUCCGCCGCCUCCGCCUCCACCUCCGCCCUGACUGCUGCCAACUCCGCUGCCGCCAGUCUGGCCGCCCUCGCUGCUGCUGUAGCGGUCUGAGCCGUUGCUCGCCUGCGCUCUUCUGCUGCGGCAAGCUCGGCAUCCUGCUGACGCCGAGUGCUCGAGGCGACCGAACGCCGAGACCGAACGUCGGACAUGGCGCGCCUCCGGGAGGCUGCUGCGUGGAGAAGGGGAAGGAGAAGGGGAAGGAGGAGCAGCCGGUGCUGCUGCUGCUGGCUAAGAGCUCAACCGAGCUUGGGAAGCAGUGGAGCAGGAGAUAUUUAGCCUACAGGAAAGUGUGGCUCUGAUACCAGAUGUUAGAAUUUCAAUGGUUACUCUCAUUGAGAAGAGGAUGGCACUCGAGAUGGGGCAAUUUUCUGGUUUCUUCAUUCACAAAACACAAAAGCCAUACCUUCCCGAGAGAGGUUGAAUACAUAUAUAUAGCCAUAGCUGGCUGGAUGGCUGCAAGCUAAUUGCUGCCCACACUAGUCUAAAAUUUGAACGUGAUGCUGUCCUAGAGAGCAUCCAAACUGAAUAAAGCAGAAAGGUGAUGGUCCUAGAUGCUGUCCUAGAGAUGCUAAAAGCAAAACCGAAAGAUGCUAAAAGCAAAACUGAAAGGAUACUGUCCUAAAAGGGAAAAACAACCUAAAAGCAAGAGAGGGACCACAAGGACCAAAAACCACAAGGCUUAUUCCAUCACCAAGGACCACAAAGACUUAUCCAUCAUUCUCCCUCUAAGUCUUGUGCGUCGUCUUGUGGGGAAGUUGAGCCAUCCCGAUCCUGAAGCAGAGCUCGAGGAACUUAAUCCUCCCAAGAGGCUUGGUGAGCAGGUCCGCAAGCUGGUCCUUGGUGUUGAUGUAGCUCGCCUUGAUGCUCCCUUCCUCCAAGUAGCUUCGGAUGAAGUGGUACCUCACCCAGAUGUGCUUGCUCCAUUCGUGAAAAACGGGGUUCUUUGCCAGGGCCAGAGCGGACUUGCUAUCCACCCUGAGCUCCACCGCUCCAGUAUCUCUGCCGAGGAGAUCACUAAGCAGUCGAGCAAGCCAGAGCGCCUGGGUCGAAGCGGCGGAGGCCGCCAUGUACUCGGCCUCGCAGCUGGACAGGGCCACCACCUGCUGCUUGACUGACUGCCAGCUAACGAGGCACUCGCCGAGGAAGAAGAGAAUCCCGCUCGUGCUCUUGCUGGUGUCGAUGUCACCGGCGUGGUUGCUGUUGCUGUACUCGACGAAGUGUGCCUUGCCAGGACACCUCGGGUAGUAGAGACCGUGGUCGAGAGUCCCCGCAACGUAGCGGAUGAUCCUCUUCACAGCCUGCUAGUGCUCCAUUGUCGGUCGUUGCAUGAACCGACUGACGUAGCCGACGGAGAAGGCCAAGUCCAGCCGUGUGGGUGAGGUAGCGAAGGCUUCCCACAAGACGCCGGUACUGUGUAGCAUCCACUUCCUCCGUCGUGCUAUCACGGCUCAGCUUCAGUCUCUCCUCCAUUGGAGUGAGAGCUGGGUUGCAAUCGGUGAGCCUAGCCAGCUCAACGACGCGCUUGGCGUAGGCGGUCUGUCGAAGCGUGAUCCCGGAGUCGUCCUGGUGCACCUCAAUCCCCAGGUAGAAAGAGAGAGGCCCCUGAUCACUCAUAUGGAAGGUGGCCUUCAUCUCCUCCCUGAACGCCGCGACCUCCGCAUCCUUGGUGCCGGUGAUCACCAAGUCGUCGACGUAGACACCCACCAGCAAGGCAUUUCCUCCAUUGCCCCGCCGGUAGAUGGCCGCCUCGUGCGGGCUUUGCUCGAAGCCCAUCCCCUUGAGCGUGGAAUCCAACUUGGCAUUCCACGCCCUCGGUGCCUGCCGCAAGCCGUAGAGGGCCUUGUGCAGGCGUAGCACCUUGCCCUCCUUGCCGGGGAUCACAAAUCCUGGCGGCUGGUGCACGUAGACCUCCUCCUUCAAGUCGCCGUUUAGAAACGCCGACUUGACGUCCAUGUGAUGGACGCCCAGCCUUCCUGAGCAGCCAGCGCAAGGAGUCGCACGGACUCCAUCCGUGCCACGGGAGCGAAGGCAUCGUCGUAGUCGAUCCCCUCCUGCUGCACGAAACCGCGUGCCACCAAGCGAGCCUUGUGCUUGACGAUGGCUCCGGCUUCAUCCCUCUUCAGCUUGAACACCCACUUAAGGGUGAUCGCGCGGUGACCACGAGGAAGGUCAGCAAGCUCCCAGGUGCGGUUCUCCUGAACUGCGUCCAUCUCCGACUGCAUCGCGGCACGCCAUGCCACGUGUUUCUCGGCCUCUGCGAAAGACCGAGGCUCACCGUCGUCGCACGCAAGGUGCAACUGCGCCUCCAGGUCGGGAGGCACCAGUCCCGGCACCGGCUGGUCGCCGAGAAGAUCCUCCAUCGUACGGUACCGUAGCUGCUCGCCGUCGUGGUACGCGUCGAUGCGCUCCCCGUCGUGGGAGAGCGGAGUAGCGAACUCCACCGGGUUGCGCUCAACACUAGCUGGCGUCGGAGUAGACGUGCUCGGAGGAGUGGCUGUUGGUGCUGGAGCGCGUGGGGUCACCGGCUGUGGUGGUGUAGGCGAGGAGCUCGUCGUAGUCGAAGUCGUGGCCCGAGAGUGUGUUGGUGUCGGAGUCGGUGGAGGCUCGGGGACUGGGGUAGACACGCUCGGUGAAGAAGAGUUGCCUACUCCCCCAGCUCCCUCGAAGUGGACGUACUCGACGGUGAAGUCGUCGUACUUCGGAGUCGAACCAUCGUCCACCGCCUUGUCCCAUACCCACCCUCGCCCUUCGUCGAACACUACAUCGCGCGCUGUGCGCACACGCUGUGUCUCCGAGUUGAGGAUGCGAUAGGCCUUCGAGCCCUCCGCGUAGCCGAUGAACACCCCUGGGGUGCUCCUGUCGUCGAGCUUGCCGAUGUGGCCAAGCUCCUUGACGAACGCAAGGCAGCCGAAGACCCGCAGGUGGGAGACCCCCGGCUUGCGCUCAUGCCAAGCCUCGUACGGUGUCCUGCCAUCGAGGGCCUUCGUAGGCGAGCGGUUGAGGAUGUAGACGGCCGUCACCACCACCUCUCCCCAGAAUAUGGCCGGCAUCCCCCUCUGCUUGAGGAGAGCCCGAGCCAUCCCUACAACCGUCUGGUUGCGCCGCUUGACACCGUUCUGUUGCGGGCUGUACGGCGCGGUGUACUGGCGCUGAAUGCCCUCAUCAGCGCAGUACGACGCAAAUUCAGCCGCCGUGAAUUCGCCGCCGUUGUCGGUGCGCAGCACGCGCAGCUUGCGGCCGCACUCCACCUCUGCAGCAGCCUGCGCGCGCCGGAUGGCGUCCGCAGCCUCUGCCUUGCUGCCGAGGACCAUCACCCACAUGUAGCGGGAGAGGUCGUCGACGAGCAGCAGGAAGUAACGUCGUCCUCCUGGUGUGGCCGGUGUCACUGGGCCACACAAGUCCCCGUGCACGAGCUCGAGCUGCUCCUUGGCUCGGAAACUCGUCUGCUGGGGAAAGGGGAGCCGCCUCUGCUUCGUUAGGACGCAGACGUCGCAGAGCUGCUCCACGUGGUCAAGGCACGGCAGGCCUCGCACCAUCUCCUUGGCGCUGAGCCACUUUAGGGCCUCAAAGUGGAGGUGCCCGAAACGCUCGUGCCACUGCCACGCCUCGUCGUCCCGACGAGCGGCGAGGCAAACUGGUUGUGCGACCUGCGCGCUGAGGAUGUAGAGUCGAUUAGUGCCUCUGGUUACCUUGGCAAGAAGGCGACGGCGGCGAUCCCAAAUCGUCAUGACUCCGUGCUCGACCAACACGCGUGAGCCGUUCUCAUCCAGCUGUCCCACGCUGAUGAUAGAGUUCCUCAACACGGGGAUGUAGUAGACUCCGGUGAGCAGCCUGUGCUCACCGGACUUUGCGGUGAAGGUGACGGAGCCGACGCCCUUGAUCUCCAUGCCGGAGGCAUCCCCAAACUUGAUGGAGCCUCGGACGCUAGAGUCAAGCUCGGUGAAGAACUCCCGCCGGCCAGUCAUGUGAUGGGUGGCGCCGGUGUCGAGGUACCACCCAUCAGCCUUGUCGUUGCUGGAGCUGUUGCCGAGGAAGGCGUGUACCUUCGGCUCAUCGAGGUGGAGGAAAGCCGUUGCGGCCGGUGCCGCUGGAGAUAGCUCGAUGCCGCGUCGUGGCUGUCGACAGUCUUUGGCCCAAUGGCCAAGCUUGCCACAGUUGCGGCAAGCGUCGUCUCGUGCCGGCUUGUGGUUGCCGGCGGCGCCGCCCUGGGCGCCUCUGCGAGCACCACCCUCGGCGCGUCUUCGCGCCCACCGCAGUUGGACGCCUCCGCGCGCCUUGCACGGCUUGCGGCCGCCUGUCGAGGGAGAGGACUCCCCCUUCCUCCCGUCACCCUGGCUGGCCUCCCACUGCUCCCGAGUGAGAUGGAGCUUCCCGCCAAUGGUGAUAGGCCCCGAGAGAGGCUGUGGCUCAUCGCCGUCCACGACCUUGAGGCGACCUAACGCCUCCUCGAUCGACAUCGUGGAGAGGUCCAGCAGAGACUCGAUCGAGCGAGCGAUCUGCCUGUACUUCUCUGGGACGCAACGAAAGAGCUUCUCGACAGCUCUCUCCUCGUCGUAGGUGUCGUCGCCGUACUGCACCAUCUUCUGCAAAAGAGUGUUGAGACGGAGGGCAAAGUCAUCAACAUCCUCACCUGGCUUGAAGGCCAGGUUCUCCCACUCCUUGCGGAGUGCCUGCAGUGUGGACUUGCGGGCGCGGUCGCUGCCGAUACGUGCCACAGCGAUGGCAUCCCAGGCCUCCUUGGCAGUCCACUUAUGGGAAAGCGAGAACUGCAUCUCGAGCGGGACUGCAGCGAUGAGGGCAUCCAGUGCCCGCCGAUCCUCAUCGUAGUCAACGUCGCCGUACCGGACUGCCUCCCACAUGUGCCGCACCUGGAGCCUCACCCUCAUCACCGCGGCCCGCUCGAUGUAGUUGGUUUUGGUGAGGGUAGGCCACCCACCGCCGAGACCAAAGUCCCUUACCACCGUCUGGACGCCGUGGUGACCAUGGCACCGGUCAGGGGAGGGAGAGCCGCGCUGCCUGCGAGGGCCGCGCGCGGGCUCCGGGCUGCCGCCGGCACGCCCGCGCCCAUCUGGGUUCCCGUCGGCGGGUGCGCGGUCCCUUGGGCCGCCGCCGCCGCUCUGCCCGUUCCCGUGCCCUUCCUCUUGCCAGCUCCUCAAGCUCCCUGUCGGCGGUGAUGUCGCCGGCGAUGGAGCCGUUGAUGCUGCUGCGCAAGGUCUCAACCUCUACCUCCGCCGCACGUGCCGCAUCUUCCGCCGCCUCUGCUUCCGCCUCCGACCUGGCUGCUGCCAACUCCGCUGCCGCCAGUCUGGCCGCCCUCGCUGCUGCUGCAGCGGUCUGAGCCGUUGCUCGCCUGCGCUCUUCUGCUGCGGCGAGCUCGGUGUCCUGCUGACGCCGAGUGCUCGAGGCGACCGAACGCCGAGACCGAACGUCGGACAUGGCACACCUCCGGGGGGCUGCUGCGUGGAGAGGGGGAAGGGAAAGGGGAAGGAGGAGCAGCCGGUGUUGCUGCUGCUGCUGCUGCUAGCUGAGAGCUCAACCGAGCUUGGGAAGGGGUGGAACAAGAGAUGUUUAGCCUACAGGAAAGUGUGGCUUUGAUACCAGAUGUUAGAACUUCAAUGGUUACUCUCAUUGAGAAGAGGAUGGCACUCGAGAUGGGGCAAUUUUCUGGUUUUCUUCAUUCACAAAACACAAAGCCAUACCUACCCGAGGGAGGUUGGAUACAUAUAUAUAUAGCCAUAGCUGGCUGCUAGCCUAUUGCUGCACCCUCCUAGUCUAAAAUUCGAAAUUUGAAUGGGAUGCUGUCCUAGAGGGCAUCCAAACUGAAUAAAGCAUAAAGGAGGCAUAAAGGAGAUGCUAACUGCUGCUGUCCUACUAACCGCAGCUGUCCUAGCAACUGAAAAAUACGCUAAAGAAGUAGAUGCUGUCCUGAAAAGGUGAAACUACCCAAAAGCAAAAAGAAGAAUCACGACCAAGGACCACGAAGACUUAUCCAUCAAAUUUGAAUAAUAUUUUACACAAAGAAAAUCAUGGGCGUGACAUAC
rnacentral:lncRNA from 1 species